rnacentral:lncRNA from 1 species
GGGACAUCUUCUCCUCUUCCUUUGGGUCUCCUUCUUCUUCUUGUUGAGUACAAACAAAGUCUCACAUCAGAAAAAAUAAGAGAUGGACAUGAGUUUAUAUACACAUAAGAUACCUCCAUUGAUAAGAGACCUUUUGGAGUGGUACCGAAAGCAAAUCCGUGAGAGCUUGGCUUAAAGCAGACAAUAUCUUAUUAGUGUGGAGACUUAUGCGUAUGUGUGAG